CACAUGGAUAUAUUUAUAGUCAUAAACUUUCAACAUUACACAUUAUAUUUAUGGACUUUGUACUGACUCUCAUUACAUUGUUUUACUAAGAUAAAUAUAAAAGCAUAAAAAGUAUUACCUUCAUGCAAGCCUUAUGCAAACUUGAAAAGUAAAAAAUGUUAUUGUAAAUAAAAAAAGUUCAGAUUUUGUAAUGCCAAAUAAAUCGCCAGUAUUUACAAUGUUGCACUAUUUAUAGGUCCCAAAUCAAAGCAAAUUUGUAACAUUGGCCAUCAUUUUUUAUUAAAGAUCAAAUUUCUUUGUUUUCACUAAAGUACACAAGAUGCUUUGGAACAUUCAACAAAUCAUGCUGGGAUCACAUGGGUCAUCAGGUUUUACACAAACUUGUAAAGUCCAUGGGAGCGCAAGUGCAUGCUUUUAUUAAAAUUGCACAUGAAAUGCUAUAAAAAACAGUCAAAUUAAUGCUUGUUUUAAAAAAAACAAUAAAAUUCUCAUUUUUUUAAAGGGGACGUAGCAUGAAAAUCUGACUUUUUUCAUGUUUAAGUGCUAUAAUUGAAUCCCUGGUGCUUCUAUCAACCUAGACAAUGUGAAAAAGAACAACAUAGUAACUUUGUUUUGGUUAACCAUUCUCUGGCUCUCCUUGUGAUGUCAGAAGGGGAAAAUACCACCCCUUAAUCUGCACUAUCCAAUCAUGACACUGCCAUUUACAUGAGAGAUCAGCUCAUUUGCAUUUAAAAGGACACUUUUGCUCACACCUACAAAGUGGCGAUUUUAACAUGCUAUAAUAAAUUAUCUUUAUGGUAUUUUGAGCAAAAACUUCACAUAUGUACUCUGGGGACACCAAAGAUUUAUUUUACAUCUUAAAAAAGUCUUGUGAAAUGUUUCCCUUAAAGCAGCUUUGGGUCAUAAAUCACAAACUCAUUCGUUGAGUUAAAAUAACCUAGAAAUGUUUAUAUUUGACCCAACAAUGUGUCAAAAUAACAGUAUUUGGGUAAAAACAGUUGGUGAUAGGUUAAAUUACAUAACAACGUGUUGGGUUUGUCCGGUUUUGACCCAAGGUUGAGUUGAAAAUAAACCAGCAUUCUUUAGAGUGUAGCCUACAUUCAAAAUUAAAUUUCAAAUAUGCAAACUGAGUGGACUGAGAUUUUGAACCCGACUGCAUUAGUUAAAACCAUUAAAUGUUGUGUCCUUUGAUGCCUUUGUUAAAGGCGGCAUAGGGUUUGAUUCAAUGCGCACAGUAUGUGCUAAUAUUAGUUUAAUAGAUAGCAGUCGAUGCCAUCUUUUCCCCUGCAGUGUGUGUGAUACUUUCAGCUUGUUGAUGUUUUUUUUUCACAUUUUAUGUGUUUGUUCACACAGCUGACAGGUGUGAGUCCAUCACUAAAACACUUUUCCAGUGUCACCAAACACCACAGGAGCAAUGAAGAACCAUUAUUACCACAGUAACUCACUACCGUUUUCAUUAGAACCCAAUGGAGAGAGUAGGUGGAGACUACUUAUCACUCCUAGAAAGAGUUUCUAAGGCAGCAACCCUACUUUAGUGGUUUUAGUCCUAAAUGCUGCUUCUCAUACCCUAAUCCUUUAAGAGAGGACUGUGUGUGUGUGCGUAUCCAUGUUAUAUUCCCCUUAGCCUUUUGUUGUCUUUGGAGAACCUUUCCUGGAACUAUUUUUUAACGCUGAAGCACCAUGUUAUGGAGGAACAAGUCUUUUGUGUUGUGUGUGUAUGGGUUUCUGCAUGUGCAUAUAUGCGUGCGUGUGUGUGGCCAGACAGGGCUAAAGGUUCUGAAGUGGGUUGCGGUUUUCAGCCCCCAAGUUCAAAGCUGAGGAGAGCUGAAAAGCGGGAAAAGAUGAUGAGACCUCUCUAAUGCGCCUUAUUUAAAAAAUGUUAGGAAUAAAGAAAUAAAAGCUGGCCAGAAACAAUGGCCUUCCUCCCUGAGAGGCAGAAGCAGCGGAGGUGAAGUGCCCUGAGAUUGCAGUGCAGAGGCUCAAACAGAGAGGCAUCUGGCAGCACAGGGGCUGCUUAUAAUCUGCCCUAAUGAUUAAUGUCCUCUAGUAAUUUUACUAAGGAUUUCUCCUCUCCUUUUCUAUCCUGAAUGCAUUGUGAGAGACCUCAGAGAAGAUAUGCGUGUGUGUGUGCGUGUUGCCGGCGGAGAAAGUGACAGAGAUGAGGUUAAGUGGGCUGUUUAGAUGUAACAGAUGCUGAGUGAGUGAGAGAGAGAAUGAAAGGACGUCUCAGGGCUGUGCGAGGGCAAAGCUGAAGUGAAAAUAAUAUAAUUGCACAGGAUUCUCCAUUUUCUACAGUUUCAUGUGUGUUUGAACCCGCAAGACUUGGAUGUCGACUAGCUCAUGCGGCGUGACAUUUGGACAGUAGAAUUACGUAAUCAAAAUAGCUCAAAUGUCAUCAAUGCAUGCAUUCGUUGCUAAAUAUAUCAUGUCUUAUUUCUCUCAUUUAACCAUCCCCCAUUUUUAGCCUCAUCUGAUGUUUAACUGUUCCUGGGUCAAGGGCAGGAAGUUUUUCCUGGGUAUUUAUGUGUGGAGAGGAUGUGGCAUGUAGCACAAGGGAGUCCGGCAGGGUGGCAGACCCCCAUGUGAGUAACAUGGCGGGGGGAAGAGGAAGUGAGCUGUGUGUCCAGCACUGUUUGUCUUCCCCUGCGGUCCUGCCCAGCUCUGUCACAAACCAUUGUGGGCUAGGCAGAUUGAUGGGGAGCAGUGGCAGGAAACUAAAGGCUGGGAAAGAUAAACCCUGGAGCAGGUCAAAAACCUUGCCUUAAACCUGACUCCAGAGUAUUGGUUUCACAUUGGAGCACUGAAGUAGAUUCAGCUAUUAUCGGUUCUUUUGAAGGGUGGUCCAGAAGGCACGGAAAGGGGGUGCUGUAGAGUCAACUCUCUUCUCUCUAUCUAUCUUACUGUCUUAAUUCAGUUUUACAUGAUUUUAUACAUCACAAUGCCACAUCUUUCUUUUCUCAUCUCUGUUUUUUUGUGUAUAAUCAAAUGUAUUUUUAUAUAAAUCAGGCAAAAUUGACUCAUUCUGACAGGCAGUAAUUUCUCUGCUUAAUUGUUGUAUACUUGUAAUGUAAAUUGGAUUGAUUUUUGCCGCAGUAAUUUGUAUUAUCCAAUUUUACUCUGUGGACCCUGUCCCGGGUCCAAAAUGAAUUAUUAUGACUUAAUAUAAAAUAUUCCUUUAAUUUUGAAUGGUCUGUCAUGGACCCAGUCCCAUAUGAGAUACUGUUUGAAAGCUUAGAAUUUCUACUUUCUGCAGAUAUGCAUCACUUUGAGAUAUAUUUUACUGUAAGAAAGUUAUUAACACUUAAUUUACACUACCCCCCUAUUUUUUAUAUCAUUUAAUAUUCACAUAUUUCAUAUUUUUCAUGUAUGACAAGCAUGGGCAAGUCUUAUAUCAAAUGAAAGCUCUCACUCUCAGGAAUAAGACUACAGCGUUAUUUUUGUUCUAUUAUCAUCACAUAUCCAACAAUCCUCUUUUGUAAACGUAUGUGAAACUUGAACGUGAACUGCCUCAGAUAGCACAGAUAGCCACAAAUGCUACACCAUCUUUUAUAUUAGGUCCUACUCUAAAAAAUUAGUCCAUUCACAGCAUUUUCUUUGGUUGUGUGCGUGAAUAAUUAUAUGUGCAAAACAAAAAAAGUUUUUUAUAUAAAAAAUGUAUUUUCACAUCCUUCAGUAAAAUAAGAAUAACUUUUGAAUUCGACAUGCUAAAGAGAUCAUUGGUUUUUUUUUUUUUGGGUGUUUACUGUCUGCUGCUUGUAACAACCAGAACUGUCUGCAGUCUGCUAGAGCACACAGAACCAGAGUUAUUCACUUUCAAAUACAGUGUUUAAAACAUAAAAAAAUAAAAUUUGGUAUUUCAUCAUAUGAAAAACAACAUAAAUAACAAUAUUUGUCACAAACAGCAGCUUUUUAUGUAACUUCAAAGGGUUUUCUGUAAAAUGAUAUAAGGUUAUUGCAUUUAUUCCCCUGUAUGUGGUUAUGGGGUCACUUCAAAUAUUUUUAGGCGGAAAUUGAAUACUAAAUGGGUAUUAUUCCUCCCUUCAGUUGGAGUAUAAUACCUUUUGCAUAGAUUAUGAUAGAG